CCUCGAAAAGCAGCUUAUGAUCCAUACAUCGAGAGUAUCAUCAGCUCUGAUGAUGAAGAAACACCAACUUUAGAUGUGGCUGCUCGAACGAGCACGUCACAUACUUUAGUUAUUUCAGAAAAACCAGUUGAAGGGGAGGAAUCGUCGCCUCCUCAACAAAAUGUUGAUACAUCUACUCCUCCUUCGAGCCCCCGUGCCCCUUCACCAAAAAGGGCACGGGUUGAAAAGAUUGUUGAUCCUGCCCCUCAGUUGGGCAGUUCGUCGACUCUGCUCUUAGAUGAUCCAAUGAUCAAAGAGCUUCUUCGGAUCGGGUCCCAAUUUGUUGGGUACCGUGAAUAUGCCGCCAGAGCCGAAG